rnacentral:rRNA from 1 species
CCGUCUCCGAAUGCAUCUNAAUUUUAAUUUGAUCAUGGCUCAGAUUGAACGCUGGNUUGCAGGCCUAACACAUGCAAGUCGAGCGGAUGACGGGAGCUUGCUCCUUGAUUCAGCGGCGGACGGGUGAGUAAUGCCUAGGAAUCUGCCUGGUGGUGGGGGACAACGUUUCGAAAGGAACGCUAAUACCGCAUACGUCCUACGGGAGAAAGCAGGGGGACCUUCGGGUCUUGCGCUAUCCAGGAUGAGCCUAGGGUCGGGAUUAGCUUAAGGUUUGGGUGGGGUAAUUGGCUCACCCAAAGGGCGACCGAUCCGUAAACUNGGUCUGAGAAGGGAUGAUUCAGNUCAACACCUUGGGAAACCUGAAGAACAACUAGGGUCCCCAGAAACUUCCCUUACCUGGGUGAAGUGGCAGCCAGUGGGGGCGAACUACAUUUGGACCACAUUGGGGCCGAAAAAGGCCUUGGAAUCCCAAGGCCAAUUG